GAUGAACGCUGGCGGCGUGCCUAAUACAUGCAAGUCGAGCGAACAGACGAGGAGCUUGCUCCUUUGACGUUAGCGGCGGACGGGUGAGUAACACGUGGAUAACCUACCUAUAAGACUGGGAUAACUUCGGGAAACCGGAGCUAAUACCGGAUAACAUGUUGAACCGCAUGGUUCAACAGUGAAAGACGGUCUUGCUGUCACUUAUAGAUGGAUCCGCGCCGCAUUAGCUAGUUGGUAAGGUAACGGCUUACCAAGGCAACGAUGCGUAGCCGACCUGAGAGGGUGAUCGGCCACACUGGAACUGAGACACGGUCCAGUCUCCUACGGGAGGCAGCAGUAGGGAAUCUUCCGCAAUGGGCGAAAGCCUGACGGAGCAACGCCGCGUGAGUGAAGAAGGUCUUCGGAUCGUAAAACUCUGUUAUUAGGGAAGAACAAAUGUGUAAGUAACUAUGCACGUCUUGACGGUACCUAAUCAGAAAGCCACGGCUAACUACGUG
rnacentral:rRNA from 1 species